UGAUACUGUUCUAUACUGAAAUUGGAUGAUAUUUUGUGCCAAAUUGACUGAAUGAUCAUGAAAUACCAUUGCAUUUUGUGAUAUUUGGUGGAACCAAAUGCACCCUAAAAUAAAUUUGGUAAGGUGUCCAAUUGUUAAUCAUGCCUAAAUUCCGGUAGGGGUCGACCCAAAACUCUGAUAAGUGGUCAUAGACCAGUUCCAGGCCUAAUAAAUGCCUAAAAAUCAGGUGAUUAAUUCCCCAUCUCAGAUAGACCCAGGCAUUGUUAAGGGUGAGUUUGGUUGCAUCAAAUUUCAUGAAAUUUCACCCAAAGUACUUGUCAUUAUCGCCACUAAAAUUUCAUGUUAAUUCAGUUGGGCAAUCUGGAGACAUCGGAUGGUCAUGACUGGCAAGGUCUAGUGGACUAUGCAUGGAGCCAUGAUGUUGUGUCGAACAAAACUCACCAAUCAAAAGUAAUGGCAGAUGUGUAUGUGAUACUAUGGUGGAUGUUUCAUCAUGCUUAAGUAAUGGCAGAAAAGCACCCUGAGAUUUAACCCAUGAAGUGUCUGGUGAUGGAAUCCUAUUUUUUAGUAUGUGUGUUCUAUUUGAACUUUUAUGAUGAUUUGAGUUGUUUUUUUUUUUUUUUUUUGCAGAACUGUGAUUUAUGUGGGUCCACUACCCACUUACAGAGUUUUGUCUCUUUUUGUUGGUCUUUUCUUUCUUCCUUGAAGAUAUUGGUCAUGGCCUUUGUGUUUGGCUGUGCUUCGGUUAGCUCACCCCUAAACUGGAAUGGAUUCGCUGCCUAGUUCUGAAGAAUCAAGUUUAAGGUAAGUAUACAAGGACUUAUCUAGGUGCAAGGAAACAUUGUCAACCCUUAAAGCCAUGCAUGGACAAGGAGCCUAUCCACAAUCAGAGCUGGACAUAGCUCACCUUGAAAAGGAAAUUGAGUUAUAUUCACUGGAGAAGCUAUGUUAUAAAGCUCAAAUGAUGGUAUGGUAAAUGAGAAGGCUCUAUCUCCUUUUCAAAUAGGAAAUUGCUUCACAUCUGGGCUUUCCUGAUGGUUCUGUAAGCCACUAUGGCAUGGAUGUUGAUGUUAAUAGUGUGUUAUUAAUGGCUGACAUUGUUCUUUAUGGUUCCUUUCAAGAGGAACAAGGUUUUCCUCCAUUGCUAAUUAGAGCCAUGUCCUUUGAAGUACCUAUCAUUUCUCCUGAUUUGGCUAUCAUAAAAAGAUAUGUGAGCUUAGUGCCAUUUAAACUCAUCCUUGUUUCCUUGACAUUUACAUGAUUGAAGUUCGCAAUUUUUUAUUUAUAUUUAUUUAAAAACCUGUCUUAAUACAGGUUGUUAACGAAGUCCAUGGUUUGAUUUUUCAAGCACCUGAACCUGAGACAUUGACUAGAGCUUUCUCGAUUUUAGUAUCGGACAUGAAGCUGUCUAAAUUUUCUCAUGUAGUUGCUUCCUCUGGAAAGUUACUUUCUUGGAACAUACUAGCAUUAGAGUGCAUAACAGGCUAUGCAAAGCUUCUAUAAAAUGUUAUUCAGUUUCCAUCAGAUUCCAUGCUCCCCUGGUCCAUUUCUCAGCUUCAAAAAUACAAUUGGGAAUGGAAUUUGUUCAGGAAGAAAUCAUAUGAGAGAGGCAUGAGCCAACAAUGAAGCCAGAACUGAACUUGAGAUUCGUCUGAGAAAAGCUGGGGAGCGAGAAGCUACCCUUGUUCAAGCACUUGAAGAAUUGAGGCAGUUUUUAGAGAGGACAUGGUUCAAAGAGACAUUGAUGAUCUUCAAAGAUUGGGU